rnacentral:rRNA from 1 species
UACGGGGGGAGCAAGCGUUGUUCGGAUUUACUGGGCGUAAAGGGCGCGUAGGCGGCCACCGCAAGUCGGUUGUGAAAUCUCUGGGCUUAACCCAGAAAGGUCAACCGAUACUGCGGGGCUAGAGUGCAGAAGGGGCAACUGGAAUUCUCGGUGUAGCGGUGAAAUGCGUAGAUAUCGACAGGAACACCUGCGGCGAAGGCGGGUUGCUGGGCUGACACUGACGCUGAAGCGCGAAAGCUAGGGGAGCGAACGGG